rnacentral:tRNA from 2 species
GGGCCGUUAGCUCAGCUGGUUAGAGCAGCGGACUCAUAAUCCGUUGGUCGAUGGUUCAAGCCCAUCACGGCCUA